AGUGAACGCUGGCGGUAGGCCUAACACAUGCAAGUCGAACGGCAGCACAGUAAGAGCUUGCUCUUACGGGUGGCGAGUGGCGGACGGGUGAGGAAUACAUCGGAAUCUACUUUUUCGUGGGGGAUAACGUAGGGAAACUUACGCUAAUACCGCAUACGACCUACGGGUGAAAGCAGGGGAUCUUCGGACCUUGCGCGAUUGAAUGAGCCGAUGUCGGAUUAGCUAGUUGGCGGGGUAAAGGCCCACCAAGGCGACGAUCCGUAGCUGGUCUGAGAGGAUGAUCAGCCACACUGGAACUGAGACACGGUCCAGACUCCUACGGGAGGCAGCAGUGGGGAAUAUUGGACAAGGGGCGCAAGCCUGAUCCAGCCAUACCGCGUGGGUGAAGAAGGCCUUCGGGUUGUAAAGCCCUUUUGUUGGGAAAGAAAAGCAGCAGGUUAAUACCCCGCUGUUCUGGCGGUACCCAAAGAAUAAGCACCGGCUAACUUCG
rnacentral:rRNA from 1 species